rnacentral:tRNA from 1 species
AUUUAUAUAGUUUAAGAAAAACAUUGUAUUUUCAUUACAAAGAAAGAUUUUUAUCUUAUAAAUA